CUCAGCUUACCGCAACCUCCGCCUCCCGGGUUGAAGCGAUUUUCCUGCCUCAGCUGCCGAGUAGCUGGGAUUACAGGUGUGGCAUCUGGCAUGAAACCAAGGACAAGACACUCAGUUGAGCUUUGUGAAAGAGUGACAGAUGAUGGAUAGAGUCAUGGGCCUGCCUCUUAUGGAGCUAAGAAAUGAAAUCUGGAUACAGAGGCCUGAGUACCUCAGAGAAGCCAAGGUUCCUGCAGGAACCUCGUGCCUGCUGUCCACGUUGGGCUUCAUUUUAUCAAAAUACAGCAAAGAGCUCAUCAUUUCUCAGCUCCGGUCAGAAGCAACAGUGGCUGUUCCUGGACACAGAGCUGCAGACAAGGAGUGCCAACACUUCCUGGAGAUGAAACACAACUUCGAUACAGAGAUAGCAAGUUCACACUCCGGCAGUCAUGCAAGGAUGAGUGAUGCGGGCCUUUUCUAAGUGAGUAUGAAGGGGUGGGACCUACGGUAAAUUCAAUGCAGUAUAAUCCGUCUACGGGGCAGUGGGCACCCAGCAACAGCCAACUGUUACCAAAUCAAAGUGCAGGCCCAGGAUGACUCAUCUUCCAGCAUUUCAUGAGCAACCAGAAGUCUACAUUUCUUUGAGAAAAAAAAAUUUUUUGAGACGAGGUCUUACUCUGUUGCCCAGGCUGGAGUGUGUAGCUUCUACCUCCCGGGGCUUAGGUGAUUCUCCCACCUCAAGUCUCCCAAGUAGCUGAGACUGCAGGCAUGUGCCACCACGCUGGCUAAUUUUUUUUUUUUUUGAGUCGGAGUCUCGCUCUGUCCCCCAGGCUGGAGCGCAGUGGCGCGAUCUCGGCUAACUGUGAGCUCCGCCUCCUGGGGUUCAUGCCAUUCUCCUGCUUCAGCCUCCCAAGUAGCUGGGACUACAGGCGCCCGCCACCACGCCCGGCUAAUUUUUUUGUAUUUUUUAGUGGAGACGGGGUUUCACCGUGUUAGCCAGGAUGGUCUCGAUCUCCUGACCUCGUGAUCCUCCUGCCUCGGCCUCCCAAAGUGCUGGGAUUACAGGCGUGAGCCACCGCUCCCGCCCCAUGCCAGCUAAUUUUUCUGUAGAGACACGGCUUCGCCAUGUUGUCCAGACUGGUCUCCAACCCCUAGGCUCCCCGCCUUGCCCUCCCAAAAUGUGGAGAUUACAGGUGUGAGCCAUUUUGAGGAAUUUUUAAAUGCUGGCUUUAAUUUUUCAAAGUAUUUGGAGCAACUUCUGCUUCUGAGAGAUAGAGCAGAUAUUCUUUUCCCCAGUCCUCCUGCUAAGUACAGCUAAAAACCCCAAAAACACUCUAUAUUAUACAAAAUGAACGUAAGAUGACUCUGAACAAGAAGAAAGCCGAUUGGUUAGGGACCUCCAGAUCCAAGGAAUGACUCAGCAGUGACCUCCCUAAGUUUUCUUUUUGCCUCAUAUAUGUCAGAAUGGGUACUGGAGAAGCCAGCAACCCAAAACUGCCAACGAUUGCAGACAAAAGCCCCAAGAAAAGCUUGUCUUUUUUUUUUUUUUUUUUUUUUUUUUGAAAGAGUGUCUUGCUCUAUCGCCCAGGCUGGAGUGCAGUGGUGCAAUCAUGGCUCACUGCAGCCUUGAUCUCUCAGGCUUAAGCUGCUUAGACUACAGAUCUGCGCCACCAUGCCUGACUAAUCAAUACAGUUUUGUUUUUUUUUUGAAACGGAGUUUCACUCUUGUUGCCCAGGCUGGAGUGCAGUGGCGCGAUCUCAGCUCACUGCUGCAACCUCUGCCUCCUGGGCUCAAGCAGUUCUCCUGCCUCACCUCCUGAGUAGCUGGGAUUACAGGCAUGCACCAUCACGCCCUGCUAUUUUUUGUAUUUUUAGAAGUAGAGAUGGGGUUUCACCAUGUUGGUCAGGCUGGUCUCAAACUCCUGAUCUCAGGUGAUCCGCCCGACUCAGCCUCCCAAAGUGCUGGGAUUACAGGCAUGAGCCAUCGUGCCUGGCCUUUUUGGUUUUUUUUGUUUGUUUGUUAUGUUUUUUUGUAGAGAUGGGGGUCUCACUGUUUCCCAGGCUGAUCUCAAAUUCCUGGGCUCAAGCAAUCCUCUGGCCUCAGCCUCCCAAAGUGCUGGAAUUAUAAGCGUGAACCAUGGUGUCCUGCAAGUCUGCUUUCUGAGUCAAAGGACAAGAAAAUAAACAGCCUAGAAAGACAGACAGCCUUGAUUUUUUUAUUUUUAGUUUUCAUUUGGUUUGAUUUUUCUUGAGACAGAGUCUCACUCUGUCGCCCAGGCUGGAGUGCAGUGGCACGAUCUCGACUCACUGCAACCUCUGCCUCCCGGAUUCAAGCAGUUCUCCUGCCUGCCUCAGCCUUUCGUUCGGCCUCAAAUGAUCCGCCUGCCUCAGCCUCCCAGAGUGCUGGGAUUACAGCCAUGAGCCACCGCAUCCAGCCGACAGACAGCCUUUAGACUAUAGCCCCUCUACUCCAGCCCCACCCUCACCCCCAUCAGCAAAGGCCGAGUGGAAAGCCUAGAUCUCCAAACCUUGCUAGGCUGUAAUGAAGUACUCCUUCCCUUCCCCACCAGGGUGAUGUAGAAGAGGCCUAGUUAUCCACUCAGGCCUUUCAUCCAUAAUCAAGGCCACCUCUCCCAACAAUGUCAGUGGAGGCCCACUCCCUCUCCCAGCCGGUGUGGUAUCAGUGAAGGCCUAAUAGAGAAACUGGACUCCCACCCCUGCCCAGCAGUAAGAAGGAGCCCUGCCAACACCGGUGUCAAUGGAGGCCAAGUGGAAAACCUGGACUUCCAUACCCUCCUGGUGAAAAUGAGGUAGCAUCCGCACUUUCCCCACAGAAGCAAUGUUAGAGGAGGCCUGCUGAAACACAGGCUAUAAAGUAAGAUCCAGAGGCUGGGCGCAGUGGCUCAUGCCUGUAAUCCCUGCACUUUGGGAGGCUGAGGUGGGAGGAUUGCUUAAGCCCAGGAGUUCAAGACCAGCUUGGGCAACAUACGGAGACCUUGCUGCUACGAAAAAACAAAAAACAAAAAAAUUAGCUGGGCAUGCUGAUGCCUGCCUGUGGUCCUAGCUACUUGGGUGGCUGAGAUGGGAGGAUUGCUUGAGGCCAGAAGGUUGAGGCUGCAGUGAGCCAUGACCCCACUGCACUCCAGCCUGAGUGACAAGGUGAGACCCUAUCCCAAAACAUUAAAUAAGAUCCAGAGUCUUAUAACAUAAUGUGCAAAAUGUCCAGGUCUUAAUCAAAAGUCAUUUGAACCAGAACCAGAAAAUUUUGAAUAAGAAAGGAUAAUCUAUAUACGCUAACACCAAAAUGACACAGAUAUUAGAAUUAUCUGAAAAAGAUUUUGAAGUAGCCAUCAUAAAAAUGCUUCAAUGUAUAUAACGUGUUCAAAUACAAACAUACUUGGAACAAAUGAAAAAAUGGAAAGUCUGGAAAAUAUAAAGUCUCAACAGAUCGAUACAUAAAGAAGAACCAAAUGGAAAUUUUAGGAAUAAAAAAUACAAUGAUUGAAAUUUAAAACUCAAUGAAUAAGCUCAGCAACAGAAUGGAGAGGACAGAGGAAAGAAUAAGUUUGAAGACAGAAAACUACAAAUUACCCAAUCUGAACACUAGGGAAAAAAAAUAGAAUGGAAAAAAAAAAAAAAAAAAACAGAGCCUCAGGGCCAUGUGAGACAAUAACAUAAGAUCUAACAUUCAUGUCAUUGGAGUCACAGAAGGAGAAGAAAUAUUCAAAGAACUAAUAGCCGAAAUUUGCCCAAAUUUUGCAAAAGACAAACUGACAGAUUCACAUAGCUGAGCAAACCUCAAACAGGAUACGCCCAUGAGAAAACACAUCAUAAACUUCUCAACAUAUACUUUUUUUUUUUUUUUUUGAGAUGGAGUCUCCCUCUGCUGUCCAGGCUGGAGCACAGUGGCACAAUCUCAGUUCACUGCAACCUCCGCCUCCUGGGUUCAAGCGAUUCUCUUGCCUCAGCCUCCCAAGUAGCUGGGACUAUAGACGUGUACCACUAUGCCUGGCUAAUUUUUUGUAUUUUUAGUAGAGAUGGGGUUUCACCAUGUUGGCCAGGCUGGUCUCGAACUCCUGACCUCAGGUGAUCUGUCCGCCUCAGACUCCCAAAGUGUUAGGAUUACAGGUGUGAGCCACCGCACCCAGCCACAAAUUCUUGAAAGCAGCCAGAGAGAAAUGAUACAUUACCUAUAGGGGGAAAACAAUUCAAAUGAUGCUGAAUUUCUCGUAAGGCACCAUGGAGGCCAGGAGGAAGUGGAACAACAUUUUUUUUUUUAGACGAGUCUUACUCUGUCACCCAGGGUGGAGUGCAGUGGCGCGAUCUUGGCUCACUGCAACCUCCGCCUCCCGGGUUCAAGCGAUUCUUCUGCCUCAGCCUCCCAAGUAGCUGGGGCUACAGGCGCGCCACCAUGCCUGGCUAAUUUUUGUAUUUUUAGUAAAGACAGGAGUUUCACCAUAUUAGCCAGGUUGGUCUCGAACUCAUGACCUCGUUAUCCGCCCACCUCGGCCUCCCAAAGUGCUGGGAUUACAGGCCUGAGCCACUGCGCCCAGCUGGAACAUUUUUGAAAUGCUGAAAGAAAAGAACGAUCGACUUGGAAUCCCAUACCUGGUGAAACAAUCCUUCAGGAAUUGGGGGGAAGGGCUGUGGGGGAGGAAAUCAUGACAUUCUUACAUGAGGGAAAAACUAAGGGAAUUUGUCACUGGCAGAUUUACUUUAUAGGGAUUACUAAAGACAAUUAUCUAAACAAAGGGAGUGGUAACAAAAGGAAUCUUGGAACAUCAGGCAGGAAAAAAGGACAAAAAGAGCAAACAUAUAGAUCAAUACAAUAGAUUGUCUUUUUCCUCUUGAGUAUUCUAAAUUAUGUUCAACAGUUGAAGCAAAAAUUACGCUUGUCUAAGUGGCUGUCCAUAUAUGUAGAGGAAAUACUUAAGAUAGUUACAUUAUAAUGGGAGAGUAAAAGGACACAGAAAAAGGUUUCUUUCUUUAUUUGUAAUCUGGUAGAACUUUCCAGAGGUAUAGAGGUAAUGUUUCUACCUUUCACUCAAACUGGUAAAAUGUCAACACCAGUAGACUGUGAUAAGUUACUGCACUCCAGCCUGGGUGACAGAGCGAGACCUUGCCUCAAAAAGGAAAGAAAAAAAAGAAAAAAAGAAAAGAAAAAGGAAUACAUACCAAACUUAAAUGUGUAUGUACCAAACAACAGACUUGAAAAAUAAGUGAACCUGGCCGGGCGCGGUGGCUCAUGCCUGUAAUCACAGAAGUUUGGGAGGCCAAGGCAGGUGGAUCACCUGAGAUGAGGAGUUCGAGACCAGCCUGGCCAACAUGGUGAAACCCCGUCUGUACUAAAAAUACAAAAAUUAGGCUGGGCGUGGUGGCUCACGGCUGUAAACCCAGCACUAUGGGAGGCCGAGGUGGGUGGAUCAUAAGGUCAAGAGAUUUGAGACCAUCCUGGCCAACAUGGUGAAACCCCGUCUCUACUAAAAAAAUACAAAAAUUAGCUGUGUGUGGUGGUGCACGGCUGUAAACGCAGCACUCGGUAGGCUGAGGCAAGAGAAUCGCUUGAAGCUGGAAGGCAGAGGUUGCAAUAAGCCGAGAUCAUGCCAUUGCACUCCAGCCUGGGCAAUAAGAGCGAAACUCCAUCUCAAAAAAAAAAAAAAAACCCCAAAAAACAAAACAAGAAAAACUAUUACACAGAAAGUCAACAGGGCUGAGUGUGUGGCUCACACCUGUAAUAGGAUAUAGAAUUUAACACUACCAUUAGCCAACAGGAUGUAAUCAGCAUUUAUAGUACAUCAACAACAACAAAAAACACAUUCUUUUUAAGCACCCAUGAAACAUGUAUCAAGAUCAACCAUAUCUUGGGUUAUAAAACAAACCUCAACAAAUUUAAAAGAAUUGAAAUCAUACAGAGUGUAUGACCAAAAUGGACUCAAACUUAGAAUUAAUAACACAAAGACAAUCUCCAGGAAGAUCUUCAAACACUUGAAAACUAAAUAACACAUUUCUAAGUAAUCUAUGAAUCAAAGAGCAAUCCUCAAGAGAAAUACAAAAUUCAUUAACCUGAAUGAAAAUGAAAAUACAAUGUAUCAAAAUGUGUAAGAUACAGCUAAAUCACAACUAGGAAGGAAAUUAAUAGCACUAAAUGCUUACAUUAGAAAAGAGGAAAAAAAUCUCAAAUCAAUAAUACAAGCUUCCACCUCAGGAAAUUAGAAAAGAACAAAAUAAACCCUAAACAAACAGAAAGAAGGAAAAGAAGAGAAAUCUAUAUAAUUGAAAACAGAAAAACAGUAGAGAAUACCAACAAAACAGAAAACUGGUUCUUUGAAAAAAUCAAUAAAAUUGACAAAUCUUUUAUUUUCUUUUAAUUGAGACAGCCUCUCGCUCUGUUACCCAGGCUAGAGUGCGAUCACAGCUCACUGCAGCCUCAACCUGCCGGGCUCAAGCAGUUCUCCUGCCUCAGCCUCCUAAGUAGCUGUGACUACAGGUGCAUGCCAAUAUGCCUGUCUAAUUUUUGUAUUUUUUUUAGAGAUGGGGUUUCACCAUGUUGCUCAGACUGGUCUCGAACUUCUGGGCUCAAGGUGUCCACCCACCUCAACCUCCCAGAGUGCUCGGAUUAGAGACAUGAGCCAUUGCAUCAGGCCAAAUUGACAAAUCUUUAGCAAGGCUGACCUAAAAAGAGAGAGGCUGGGUGCGAUGGCUCAUGCCUGUAAUCCUAGCACUUUGGGAGGCCGAGGCAGAUGGAUCACUUGAGCUCAGGAGUUCAAGACCAGCUUGGGCAAUAUAUCAAAAACCCAACCCUGCCUCUACAAAAAAUACAAAAAUUAACCAGGCACGGUGGCACACGUGUAGUCCUGGCUACUUGGGAGGCUGAGGUGGGAGGAUCCCAUAAACCUGGGAGGCGGAGGUUGCAGUGAGCCGAGAUCAUGCCACUGCACUCCAGCCUGGGCAGCAGAGUAAGACUUCAUCUCAAAAAAAAAAAAAUUAUUUUUAUAGAGACAGGGUCUUGCUAUGUUGCCCAUGCUAGCCUUGAACUCCUGGGCCCAAGUGAUCCUCCAGCCUCAGCUCUCCCAAAGUGCUGGGAUUACAGGCGUGAACCACUGUGCCCACCCCAUACAUUCUUCAUAUCAGGAAUAAAACAGAAGCUAUCACUACAGACUCUGCAGAUAACGAUAGAAUAAUAAGGGAAUUUUAUUGUAUUGUUUAUUUAUGUAUUUAUUUUUUGAGACAGAGUCUCGCUCUGUCGCCAGGCUGGAGUGUGGUGGCGUGAUCUCGGCUCACUACAAUCUCUGACUUCCUGGUUCAAGUGAUUCUCCUGCCUCAGCCUCCCAAGUAGCUGGGAUUACAACCACGCCCCACCACGCCCAGCUAACUUUUGUAUUUUUAGUAGAGAUGUGUUUCACCAUGUUGGCCAGGAUGGUCUUGAACUCCUGACUUUGUGAUCCGGCUGUUUGGACUCCCAAAGUACUGAGAUUACAGGCAUGAGCCACCGCGCCUGGCCCUGGAAAUUUUAUAAACACACAUUUGUUUUAUAUGUUACAAACACACAUUUGACAACUUAGAUGAAAUGGACUAAUUCCUUAAAAAAUAAAAACUACUACAACAUACCCGAUAUGAAGUAGAUAAUUUCAGUAGCUUUAUCACUAUUAAGGACAUUGAAUUUGUAAUUUAAAACUUCACCCCCAAGAAAUCUUUACUCCAGAUGGUUUCAGUGGAGAAUUCUAUCAAACGUCUAAAGAAGAAUUAACACCGAUUCUACAAAUCUGAUCCAGAAAAUAGAAGAGAUGAAGCAUUUCCUAAGUCAUUUUAUGAGGCCCAUCUUACCCAUAUCAAAACCAGACAAGGAAAAUACAAAAAAGAUGACUACAGACCAAUGACCUUUAAUAAGAACACAGACACAAAAAUCCUUAACAAAACAUUAACAAAUAGGCCAGGCACGGUGCCUCAUGCCUGUAAUCCCAGCACUUUGGGAGGCUGAAGUGGGUGGAUCACCUCAGGUCAGGAGUUGGAGACCAGCCUGACCAACAUGGUGAAACCCUGUCUCUACUAAAAAUAAAAAAAAAAUGAGCGGGCGUGGUGGUGCAUGCCUGUAAUCCCAGCUACUCCAGAGGCUGAGGCAGGAGAAUCACAUAGAACUCGGGAGGUGGAGGUUGCAGAGAGCCAAGAUCGUGCCACUGCACUCCAGCCUGACUCUGUCUCCAUAAAUAAAUAAAUAAAUAAAUAAAUAAAUAAAUAAAUAACAAAUAGAGGCCGGGCACGGUGGCUUACGCCUGUAAUCCCAGCACUUUGGGAGGCCAAGGCAGGCGGAUCACCUGAGGUUGGGAGUUCAAGACCAGCCUGACCAAUAUGGAGAAACCCCAUCCCUACUAAAAAUACAAAAUUGGCCAGGCACAGUGGCUCAUGCCCGUAAUCCCAGCACUUUGGGAGGCCUAGGUGGGCGGAUCACGAGGUCAGAAGUUCAAAACCAGCCUGGCCAACAUGGCAAAACCCCGUCUCUACUAAAAAUACAAAAAUUAACCAGGCAUGGUGGCAAACACCUGUAAUCCCAGCUACACAGGAGGCUGAGGCAGGAGAAUCGCUUGAACCCGGGAGGGGGAGGUUGCAGUGGGCCAAGAUCGCACCAUUGCACUCCAGCCUGGGUGACAGAGCGAGACUCCAUCUCAAAAAUAAAAUAAAAUAAAAAAUACAAAUACAAAAUUAGCCGGGCAUGGUGGUGCAUGCCUGUAAUCCUAGCUAUUCGGGAGACUGAGGCAGGAGAAUUGCUUGAACCUGGGAGGCACAGGUUUCCGUGAGCGGAGAUUGUGCUAUUGCACUCCAGCCUGGGCAACAAGAGGGAAACUCCGUCUCCAAAGAAAAAAAAUGAAUAGAAUUCAGCAAUAUAUGAAAAGAAUUAUAUACUAUGACCAGGUGGGGAUUAUUCCAGGGAUGCAAGGCUGAGUCAAUAUUCAAAAAUCAAUCAAUGAAAAAAAAUCAAUCAACGUAUUCCACCCUGUUAACAGGCUAAAGAAAAAUCAAUUGACAGAGAGAAAGCACUUGACAAAAUUCCGUACCCAUUCAUAAUAAAAACUCUCAGGAAACUAGAAAUAAAAGGGAAUUUUCUCAAUUUGAUAGAGUAUCUACAAAAAACCUACAACUGGCAUCAUACUUCACAGUGAGAGACUGAAUGCUUUCCCCCUGACUGAACACAAGGCAAGCAUGUCCACUCUCACCAAUCUUAUUCAACACAGUGCUGGAAAUUGUAGUCUGUGUAAUAAGAAUAGGAAAAGAAUUUUAAAAGCAUACAUAUUGGAAAGAAAGAUAUCAGGUGGUCCUUAUAAUGGCAUGAUGGCCUUUAUAGAAAAUUUCAUGAAAUCUAAAAAAAAAAAAAAAAAGCUAGAACCAGUAAGUGAAUUCAGCAAGGUCACAAUACAAAAUCAACAUACAAAUAUCAACAUAUAUAUAUUAGCAAUGAAAACACGGACAUCAACAUUUAAAACAUAAUAUGAUUUAUAAUCACAGAAAAAGGAAAUAUUUAGGUAUGAAUCUAAUAAAACAUGUACAAGACUCAUAUGAUGAAAACUAGAAAAUGGUGUUGAAAGAAAUCAAAGAAGAUCUAAAUAAACAGACAGAUAUACUGUUUUCAUGACUUCAAAGACUCAUCACAGUAAGGAUGUCAAUUCUCCCUAAAUUAAUAUACAAGUUUAGUGCAAUUCCUAUCCAAAUCCCAGCAUGAUUUUUGUAAAUAAAGAUUAUUAUAAAAUGUAUGAGGAAAGGCAAAUAAACUAGAAUAGCUGAAACAAUUUUUUUUUUUUUUUUUUGAGCCAGAGUCUCACUCUGUCACCCAGGCUGGACCACAGUGGCGUGAUCACAGCUCAUUGCAGCCUUGACAUCCUGGGCUCAGUUAAUCCUCCUACCUCAGUCUCCCAAGUAACUGGGACCACAGGUGCGUGCCACCAUGCCUAGCUAAUUUCUUUUUUUUUUUUUUUUGAGAUGGAGUCUUCCUCUGUGGCCUAGGCUGGAGUGCAGUGGCAUGACCUCGGCUCACUGCAAGCUCUGCCUCCCGGGUUCACGUCAUUCUCCUGUCUCAGCCUCCCGAGUAGCUGGGACUACAGGCACUCGCCACCACGCCUGGCUAAUUAUUUUUGUAUUUUUAGUAGAGACGAGGUUUCAC